UACGGAGGAUGCGAGCGUUAUCCGGAUUCAUUGGGUUUAAAGGGUGCGUAGGCGGCUUUUUAAGUCAGUGGUGAAAUCCUGCAGCUUAACUGUAGAAUUGCCAUUGAUACUGAAGAGCUUGAAUAUAGUUGAGGUAGGCGGAAUGUGCAGUGUAGCGGUGAAAUGCUUAGAUAUUGCACAGAACACCGAUUGCGAAGGCAGCUUACUAAAUUAUUAUUGACGCUGAGGCACGAAAGCGUGGGGAUCGAACAGG
rnacentral:rRNA from 1 species